rnacentral:tRNA from 1 species
GUCCCUGUAGCGCAAUGGAUAGCGUGUUGGACUUCUAAUCCAAAGGUCAUGGGUUCGAAUCCUACCUGGGAUG